UACGAAGGGGGCUAGCGUUGCUCGGAAUCACUGGGCGUAAAGCGCACGUAGGCGGAUCUUUAAGUCAGGGGUGAAAUCCUGGAGCUCAACUCCAGAACUGCCUUUGAUACUGGGGAUCUCGAGUCCGGAAGAGGUGAGUGGAACUCCGAGUGUAGAGGUGAAAUUCGUAGAUAUUCGGAAGAACACCAGUGGCGAAGGCGGCUCACUGGUCCGGUACUGACGCUGAGGUGCGAAAGCAUGGGGAGCAAACAGG
rnacentral:rRNA from 1 species